rnacentral:rRNA from 1 species
UACGUAGGUGACAAGCGUUGUCCGGAAUUAUUGGGCGUAAAGAGCUCGUAGGCGGUCUGUCGCGUCGGUCGUGAAAACCUGCAGCUUAACUGUGGGCGUGCGGUCGAUACGGGCAUGACUGGAGUUCGGCAGGGGAGACUGGAAUUCCUGGUGUAGCGGUGAAAUGCGCAGAUAUCAGGAGGAACACCGGUGGCGAAGGCGGGUCUCUGGGGCCGAUACUGACGCUGAGGAGCGAAAGCGUGGGGGAGCGAACAGG